CGAUGCCUCGUGCCCACAGCAGAUCGUUCUCCGCCACCAACCAGCCCUUCGCACGCCCGCCGCUCUCCUCUGCCCCAACCCCAACCCCGCCGCCGCCUCAAUCCCACCGCCGCCGGCCUCCUCCUCCUCUAGCGCCGCCGCUCCAGCCCCUCACCUUCUCAGCCUGGAUCCGCGCGACAAGGUGUGGGGCUAUGGCAGAGAAGGCUCCAUAUCGCGCGACAAGGUGAGGGGGCGCCCAGAUCCGCAGUGGCACCACCGCGCCCUCGUCUACCUGGCCCUCGAGGUCGGCCAUGGAGGUCCGGCCCGACCAAUGGAUGGAUGGGGAUGAAACCCUAGCCUAACACCCACCCAUGGAUGGAUGGGGAUGGGGCGGCGACGGCGGCGGCGGCGGCCUUCUCUCGGUGCUUGCUGAUGUGGUGGACAUCGACGUCGGUGACGGGUUGCAGCACGUAGACAUCAAAGGCUGCGGGUGUGACGGAGGAGCACCAUGGCGGGCGUGCAGGCCAUGGCUCGCUAUGGAAGGCCCUUCCCUUCCCUCUCUCUGUUCGGGCCAUGCUCAGGCAGUCUUUUCUCUUCUCUUCCCACAAAAAAUGGUCUUUUCUCUUCAUGAUCUGAACAUGUUGGAGGCCAUUAUUUCUCCUCUGCCAUAGUUUGUUGUUGCUGCCAUGUUAACUGAGAGUUGGUAGCCAAUAUCAAGUGAUUUGGAAUUUUUGUUGAUCUGAACCAUAAAUGUGAUGAUUUAUCACAAUUGUCAUAUGAUCGCAAUUUUGUUGAUCACAUUACAUCUAUGCUCUAUUUGUUUGUUUGUUUAAAUCCAUGCUUCCGCUUUGAGGUUGAACAACAGGUUAAGGAAGCACUCCUCAAUUUUUUUGGGGUUCAACGGAACAGCAGGAGUGUGGAGAAUUAAGGCACUCGAGGUCUCUGGAAUAUGGAUGGAGAGAAGGGACUGAACAGGCUGGGGCUGGGACUUCACCUGCAGGUUCAACUACCUGAGGAAGGGUAGAUCGAUUGUGGCAAGACAGCCAUGCUGCUAGACAAAGGAAGUUAACGAGAGCUGGGAGAGGAUCCUGCUCUGUCCCCAGCUCAUCAAGGACAUGGACACAUGGUACACAUGAUGGUUAAUUCCGCUCUUUGCGUAUUCAGGUUUACAUCCAGGCUAUUGGGGAGCAACUCAUGGAGAUGAUGAUAAUCAAGGGAGCCAUCUAUGUGACUUCCAACCACGGGGACAACUAGAAGGUAGCCAUGCAUGAGACCUAUCUCGGCCACUCUGAACAGCAGAGAGGGAUGGAUUCAAUUAAAGUCUGGAAGGAACCAGUCAUGCCUUCUUACUCACAAAAAAGG